GACGCUCCAUGACAGGAAGGACUGAAAUGUCUCUGGGACGCCUGGUCUUUUCUCGAUGUCCUUGCAGC
rfam:Ictidomys tridecemlineatus contig089585, whole genome shotgun sequence.